rnacentral:rRNA from 1 species
CCUACGGGAGGCAGCAGUAAGGAAUAUUGGUCAAUGGACGCAAGUCUGAACCAGCCAUGCCGCGUGAAGGAUGAAUGCCCUCUGGGUUGUAAACUUCUUUUAUAGGGGACGAAAAAGGGUCUUUUUAGAUCAACUGACGGUACCCUAGGAAUAAGCACCGGCUAACUCCGUGCCAGCAGCCGCGGUAAUACGGAGGGUGCAAGCGUUAUCCGGAUUUACUGGGUUUAAAGGGUGCGUAGGUGGGUUGGUAAGUCAGCGGUGAAAUCUUCGAGCUUAACUCGGAAACUGCCAUUGAUACUAUCAGCCUUGAAUAUCCUGGAGGUGAGCGGAAUAUGUCAUGUAGCGGUGAAAUGCUUAGAUAUGACAUAGAACACCAAUUGCGAAGGCAGCUCACUACGGGAUUAUUGACACUGAGGCACGAAAGCGUGGGGAUCAAACAGGAUUAGAUACCCUGGUAGUCCACGCCCUAAACGAUGGAUACUCGACAUUUGCGAUAUACAGUAAGUGUCUGAGCGAAAGCAUUAAGUAUCCCACCUGGGAAGUACGAUCGCAAGAUUGAAACUCAAAGGAAUUGACGG